CGCCCGUAGGUGGAGACUGGACAAGGCAGAUGGCCAUGAUGAAGAAAGAAAGAGGUAACCCUGGGAGACUUGGAGAAACAAGGACACUACUAAGGACCAGACUUCCUUAUGUCUUCGGGGAUGAUGGAACAAAGAUAGAUAAAAGAGAAGGAGAUAUUUUAAGGAAAGUUGAGUAACAUGGAGAAGAGCCAACCAAGACACGGCCAACUUAAGAAGUCGGGGAGAAGAAACCCAGCCCUGGGGCUGCAGCUGCUCAGCUAUGAAGUGAUAAGGAGGACCCUGGCCCAGCGCCAGAGGGGAGCAGGAGAAGAGAAGAUCAUCCAUGUUGGUGGGCCCUGUGGGGAGGGAGGAAGGCUCUGCAGACAGCUGGGAAGUGCCUCUGACUGGCGUGGGGCAGGGCCUGGGGGAGAAAUUGCUGGCAAGGGCAAAUAGGGUGAAACAAAUAGGGGGUACAGAGUCCUGGGUCAAAGAAGCACUCUUUCUCCCUUC